UACGUAGGGGGCAAGCGUUGUCCGGAAUCAUUGGGCGUAAAGAGCGCGUAGGCGGUCCGGUAAGUCCGCUCUGAAAGUCCGGGGCUCAACCCCGGGAGGCGGGCGGAUACUGUCGGGCUAGAGUCCGGAAGAGGCGAGUGGAAUUCCUGGUGUAGCGGUGAAAUGCGCAGAUAUCAGGAGGAACACCAAUGGCGAAGGCAGCCCGCUGGACGUGACUGACGCUGAGACGCGAAAGCGUGGGAGCAACAGG
rnacentral:rRNA from 1 species